UUACAGGCGCUAGUGUGGGAUGAUGGUUUGACUGGACCAUUUGGUUUGAUUGCUGAAGCAUCUCUUCUAAAGGACCAACAUGAAGUGGAGAAAAUGUUCCGUCUCCAUUCCUCUGGUCUCCCAGCAAGCAACGUACACAAUA
rnacentral:sRNA from 1 species